GACGAACGCUGGCGGCGUGCUUAACACAUGCAAGUCGAACGAAGAGCGAUGGAAGCUUGCUUCUAUCAAUCUUAGUGGCGAACGGGUGAGUAACGCGUAAUCAACCUGCCCUUCAGAGGGGGACGACAGUUGGAAACGACUGCUAAUACCGCAUACGAUCUAAUCUCGGCAUCGAGGAUAGAUGAAAGGUGGCCUCUACAUGUAAGCUAUCACUGAAGGAGGGGAUUGCGUCUGAUUAGCUAGUUGGAGGGGUAACGGCCCACCAAGGCGAUGAUCAGUAGCCGGUCUGAGAGGAUGAACGGCCACAUUGGGACUGAGACACGGCCCAGACUCCUACGGGAGGCAGCAGUGGGGAAUCUUCCGCAAUGGACGAAAGUCUGACGGAGCAACGCCGCGUGAGUGAUGACGGCCCUCGGGUUGUAAAGCUCUGUUAAUCGGGACGAAAGGCCUUCUUGCGAAUAGUGAGAAGGAUUGACGGUACCGGAAUAGAAAGCCACGGCUAACUACGUG
rnacentral:rRNA from 1 species